ACAGAGAAAUGCACUGAAAAAAAAAAGAGAACAAGAUGAGGAAGAAAGUGCAAUCUCCAUCUGAAACAGCGUCUUUCUUUGGGUUCCCUUUCCCUUUUGUUUUUCUCU
rnacentral:ribozyme from 1 species